AGAUAGAGAGCAAGAAGGCAGAGGAAGUUGAGCUGUGCGCUUUGAGAUACUGCAUGCUGCUUGCCUCCUUUGCUGUGGUCACAAAUCAGUUGCGCAGCAGAGGGAAACGCAUGUGUGCAGUGAGCGGAAGUGCUUGGAUUUUAAAUUGUUUAUCUGCGACAAAACCAAACUUAUUUACCUGAAAUGCACAGAGGCUGCAUACACACCAUACAUUUAAAGCACAUCUUCCCCCCGGCAAAGAAUCCUGGGAAUCCAAAUGGUGGGAAACCAGAGGAGGAGGAGCCAGUGGAAAGCUCUGCAGCAUCCAUUUCCUGCUCGGGAGCCACCGCCACAGCUAAGCACCAGCUCCAUUGGGAGCUGCACAUAUGAACGGAAAAGAAGAAGCUGGCUGCCAUGAAUUGGCCUCCCAGAGAAUUUUCCAUUUGGUUUCAUGAAGUUGAAGCUAUUCAAAUAUCAUCUUCUAAGCCUACAGAAGCUGGGAGUAAGGAAGAAUUAUACUGCUGUUGCUUGGAUGUGACACACAUUUAACUUGAGCACUGCAAUGUCAAACAAUGACUUGCAUGUUUCAGUGGCUAUUGCAUAUGAAACAAAAUAAACAAAGAUUUUGUAUCACUUAUAUACCUUUUCACUAUACCUACACAAUGCAGAGACACAAUGGAGGCUCUUCCCACAUUCAAGGGGGGGAUCACUGAGGUCAUACUAUAUGAGAUAAUAAACAUGUUUUUGUGUUUCCAUCUGUGAUGUGUUAUUUUUUUUUUUAAAAAAAUAGCACUAAUUAAGUUCACUAUUGCUGCUCCUGCAUCAUGUACCAUGCAGGGAGCAAUCCAGCAAAGUUAGUCAUUUUUAUGCCCAUGGUCUUAAUUUUCUCCCAGUGAAA